rnacentral:rRNA from 1 species
GAUGAACGCUGGCGGCGUGCCUAAUACAUGCAAGUCGAGCGAACAGACGAGGAGCUUGCUCCUCUGACGUUAGCGGCGGACGGGUGAGUAACACGUGGAUAACCUACCUAUAAGACUGGGAUAACUUCGGGAAACCGGAGCUAAUACCGGAUAAUAUAUUGAACCGCAUGGUUCAAUAGUGAAAGACGGUUUUGCUGUCACUUAUAGAUGGAUCCGCGCCGCAUUAGCUAGUUGGUAAGGUAACGGCUUACCAAGGCAACGAUGCGUAGCCGACCAGAGGGGGGGAUCGGCACCACGGGACAUGAGACACGAUCCCAAUCCUGAGGGGAGGCAGCAGUAGGGAAUCUGCCGCAAGGGGGGAAAGCCUGAAGGAGGAACGCGGGGUGAGUGAAGAAGUUUGGCGGUUCGUAAACCUUUUUUAUUGGGGAAAAAAAAAUGUGAAAGUAAUUAUGCACGUUUGGAGGGAACCAAUACAAAAAGCCCGGCCAAAUUCCGG